AGAAGUCAGCAAAUAAAGGAAGACAAAAAAAAAAAAGUUGUGGCGAUUGUAAAUCGGAUGCCCAUAGUGAUAGGAGCCCUAGGCUGGAGAUGUUGUGCUGUCCAGCAGAUCCAUGCAUGCUGUGCCAUACCGUGGGCUUGAACUUGCACUUAAAAUGCACUGCUGUACACAAAUGCUGAAUAUUAUUCCUUCUUUGGAAUGGAUGAAAUUCAGAAGUGAAUCCUUUGGACGUGGCACAAGGGUCUACUCAUGAGCAUAACGUGGGGCUUGCAGGAUGUCACCAUGUCCUCCUGACAGUUACCUCUGCUACUGACUGUGAUCAGAUACCAUAUCAGUCUGGUAGUUCAUGCUCUUCAGUCCUCAAGGGAAGAGUAUGAGGUCCACAACCAGCCUCCACAGAAGAUGAGAUACCAUUAAAUGGUGAGUGGGCUGACAGUUGCAUCUUCCUGUGUCAGCUGGGUGCUAAAAGGCUGAUAGGUUUGUGAAGCUGUUGGAUGGUGGAUUGUGGACUCCCCUUUCGGCCUGCAAAGAGGUAAGGGUCUGUCAGCACUGGACACUGUUUGGUUCCUAAGGAGUCCAUUUGGCAGUGACCACUGCAGAGAGCACAAGCAACAAGGAGAAAUGGAUCCGCUUCAGAUCAAGCCCUACCUGGGCUGAAUAGGACUGUUCAAGGCUGAGCAGUGAGAGCAAAAAUCUAAAGGAACAAGGCGCAAAAAUCACUGAGCUAUCCCUGUCCAUGGAGGAGUGUCAGCACAGCAUUGUGCCCAAGCCAAGCAGCUCUGCUGGGAGGCCGCUUCCUGAGCACUGGCUUCACGCAGCCCAAGGCCUGGCCAGGCCCUGCCUGGACACAGCCCUUCUUUCCCAGGGGCUGCGGAGCUCUCCAAAAUAGCAUUGCAUGUACAAACAUGUCCUGAGGAAGCCUGUGG